AAUGACUUGUCAUGCACAAGGUAGAUGUCCUAAUCGACUUGCCAAAACCAUAGUUUGUUAACAAGAAAUUUCUGGAGURGUUGAAAAACUAGUCUUAAGUACUCCAACCUAAGUGUAUGUAAACUUCCGACUUCAACUGUAUCAUACUGCUGUAAUGUCAAGCGUUUUGCCAUAUAUCAUACUGCUGUAAUGUAUUUUUGAAUGAUUAGACAAGUCAAUGGUACCGAAAAAUGUAUUUGUACAAUAUUCAGUAUUUAUAUAAAGUUAUGACUCAAAACCACGGGAAAAACAUGCACAUUGUCUUUUUCUUUGUUAUAAAUGUCUUCAUUGUACAUAAUAUGAUUAACACAUCUGUAUCGUAUUUUCAAUACUUAACAUGAUCUAAUUGAUCCAUUUCAAGUUCUGUAUGACAGAAGACCAUUGUACUUAGACUUCGUUAUGUUGACGUUUUUCACUACAAUUGAAAUUGAAAAGUACUUGUUUCAGUUGAAACCUUCUCAGGAAAUGCUUAUAGGGUUAGUUAAUAACUGAUGGCACUUUGCUUGACAGUGUAAAGGAAGUUGUGUAACCUCUUUGUUUAGAUUCCAGGUGCUUAAAGUGACCACUAGCCUGUCAUCCCAGGUGUGUCUUUAAAUCUUCCUGAUCCUGUAAACAGCCUUUGAAGUCAACYCUGCAUUGUCCCGCUGGUUAUAGACAAGCCACAUUUUGAAUCCACUAGAUGCUUGUAUCACUACCAAGAAGUCUGUCUGAAAUGUAGUAUAUUUUAUUGUAAGUUUAUCAAAUCAGACAUAACUUGUUAUGCAUUUAAAGUCAGCUCAAGACUGCAGUAGUUAAGCCUAUUUCUGCUUCUUGACCAUGUAAAGUUUUAUCAUUGCAUUUAAAUAGCCUAGGGAGCAAGCUACCAUAUGUCCUGUCCAUAUGCGAUUAUGGUUGUAUGYCUUUUUGUAGCCUAAUAAUUAUAGAUAUAUAGCAUACUAUAGCAUAUUUAUUUCAUAAGCACAUACUAAGUCUCACUCAAUGGCAACUUUGCCUAAUUCUGGGGGCAGACGUUUCCCAAAACCCAAUGGCAUUCGUUUUCGAUUAGAUCCUGAUAUUCAAAUGAGUUCACAAUGAAAACCUUUAGGCUUGUCUACUGAAUCAUGACUGUGGUGAUUUGUCACUUCAGCCCCGCAUGCAAAGCUCCUGUCUGAAGUCUUUGUCAGGUCAUAAUUGAUCCAUCGGCUCUUGGUCGACCAGAACACGGCCCCAUUUAGGACAGGCCCCAUCAGGAAAGGUUUACACUAAUCUCCUCUCCAAAGUAGUUUCUGACUCGAUGGGACAACACCUCUCAGGCCCUCUGAUCUAUCUGUUGAGGCGGGGUAUAAAGUCCUCGCCUCCCGCCUGGAGAAGGAGACACAUUGAGCCACACUCAACCGCGCAGCAUGACGAGAGGAAGCCUGAGCGCAACCGGACAUCUUCUUUCUCAUUACCAUCAUACUUUCCUUUUUAUGGUGGAGCAACGGACAUCUCCUCGCGCUUGCCAAAUACGAUUCUAUCAACAACAACGUGAUCCUUCAGUAUAGAAGUGAUUCAUUCCGUGGGUCCUUCCGGGGAAGCAGCCACACAACAAGCCAUGCACAUCCAGCAACCAGGCGGAGGCGCACUGCACCAUCCGGUGAUCUGACUUGGGCGCAUUUUGGAGAMACAAAUUCACUUCACCCAGUUUACUAGAGGCGUCUAAGUGGUUAUAAUCAAGUUCUGUAGAACGGACAACCGGGCAGUCUAUAGGGGAAUCUUCGUGCGGAGAUUCCGCACUAUCUACAGACCGACAACCAGCUGACUAAACUAGAAGAGGUGUGCAGUAAGCAGCGGUACAUGACCAAGACGGAGAAGAGUCUUCUGGCCUCAUUGCUGAGACUGACCGAGACACAGGUCAAAGUCUGGUUCCAGGACAGAGGAACGCGGUGGAGGAAGGCCCACGGGGACAUGGUCGGUGUACCGGAGAGACACGCUCACGGUGAAACAUCGCGCAAGGAGGAGGAUGAGUUGAUUUCCGUGGACAAUGACGAGUCAUGGGUGUAUUUUUUUAUUUGUUUUAUGUUAGUAAAUGCCUUGAGCCCACCACACACAUUCAUGAUGAUUCCUGAAUUCUUAUUCUUGUCAAACAAGAGAGAAAAUUGCCGAUAUUUUACCACUGUGUGGCCUGGCAUGGUAUGCUUUUGCUCAUCAGCUAACAACUAGGCUAUGAGUCACUGAAGAUUUAGCCAUAUCAUUUUUGUAAUGUAUUUUAUAUCCCCAUAUCACAACAUUCCGUAUGUGAUUUAAUUUCCCCCCGCCUUCCUUUUACACCUGGAGUUUUUAUUGAGUUUCCUUUCAGUUUAUGUGCUGGCAUUUAUCCACGUACCGAACCCAGGAUAUAGGUCUAGCUUUAUACCGAACCCAGGGUGUACGCCUUCUGUACUGAACCCAGGAUAAAAGCAUAGCCUCCUAUAUUGCUGUUGUUUCUGUUCUUAAUGUGGAAUAUUUUCUACUGAUCACUGUCUCUAUUUUGUUGUUUUGACUGAUAGUGAUCAGUAGAAAAUAUAUUGUUGUUUUGACUGAUAGCGAUCAGUAGAAAAUAUAUUGUUGUUUUGACUGAUAGUGAUCAGUAGAAAAUAUAUUGUUGUUUUGACUGAUAGUGAUCAGUAGAAAAUAUAUUGUUGUUUUGACUGAUAGUGAACAGUAGAAAAUAUAUUGUUGUUUUGACUGAUAUUUUUUAGCUACUUGAUAUGUAAUUCUCUUGUAUUUAAAAAAUAAUAAUAAACCUUUGGCUUAUA